GGGCGUUAAGUUGCAGGGUAUAGACCCGAAACCCGGUGAUCUAGCCAUGGGCAGGUUGAAGGUUGGGUAACACUAACUGGAGGACCGAACCGACUAAUGUUGAAAAAUUAGCGGAUGACCUGUGGCUGGGGGUGAAAGGCCAAUCAAACCGGGAGAUAGCUGGUUCUCCCCGAAAGCUAUUUAGGUAGCGCCUCGUGAAUUCAUCUCCGGGGGUAGAGCACUGUUUCGGCCAGGGGGCCAUCCCGGCUUACCAAUCCGAUGCAAACUGCGAAUACCGGAGAAUGUUAUCACGGGAGA
rnacentral:rRNA from 1 species